GGGGCCAUAGUUAAGCGGGAUAACAGUUCCCUCGCACGGAACAGUCGGCGGUUCGAGUCCGCCUGGCUCCACCA
rnacentral:tRNA from 1 species